GGCCUGUCUACACCGACAUGUUUCCAUCUUCACCUCCAGAUCUGCUGCUGCUCACCUGAGCAGCUCACCUGAGCAGCUCAGCAGCAGAACACACCUGGGUUUCCCUUCAGAGCAGCAGCUGGUUCCACAGACGUCACACUGGUCUGUGGUGUUGGUUCAGUCUUCACAGAUCAGUCUGAUGUCAGUCAGAAAAAUCCACUCAUUAGACGCCUUUCUUCCAAACUCACUCAGGUCUGAGAUCAAUGUUACCAUGGUAACAAUCAAUGACACCUGCGCUGACCAGCAGCACCCAACAACAAGAAACAGGAAAACACGGCUCAUAAUCAGAGCGACGAGAAGGGAAAGAGUUUCUAAAAUCAAAUCAGAUUUUUCUUUUCAUUCUUUCACUUGUUGCUAAAUUUUCAAAGUAAAACUUCCUGUAACUGUUGAAUCCUUCCUAAAGACAAACAUGUUCUGCUGAGGUAAACAGAGCUCAGCAGGUGGAAGCAGUUCCAGCCAUUUUCCUCAUUUAGAAAAAGUCUUUAUUUACCCAGAAUUCAUUGCACCACAGUCCAGUUUAAGAUAGUCAAGGACUCUGUAUCUUUGUGAAAGUGGCCCCCGGUCCCGGCCCAAAGAACCAGAGCUGAACAGGAGGAUGUUUGAAUUUCUCCAAGCUGCAGGAAAAACUGUCAAGGAAGUGGAUGAAUGUGAAAAAUAAAAUCACAAUAAGCAGCUGAUUGAGAUUAAAGCAGCGAGCAGAGUGAGACCAAGCACACACCUGCUGCACCGCUGAAGAAACGUAAUCCCCACCGUGUCUCAGGAUCUUUGGUUCCCACCGUUUUCUGGUUUGGAAAGUUUUUCCAGAAACGACCAAUAAUAAACCUGGACAGUCUCUGCUGCUGCGGCUUCAUCCACUGAGGUUAUUACAGAUGAGACAAAUGUCUGUAGACACCAGGACGGACACAGAGCAGACAGACGCCGACACAAACUUAAUGAACAACUGUUUAUUAUUUGCUCUUAAUAAAAAGCUCAGUUGACUGAGGCCCGAGGAGGAGGACGCCGCCGUGCUGCGUUCAAAGACCAGACCUGUGGCGGUGACUCCAGAGAGUGAAGCCAGAAUGACCUCGGCUCCGCCGGCUCUCUGCCUCGUGACGCUCAAACCGCCACCUCUGUUAUUGCAUCAACAACCUCGGCCGAUUCAUCACAACUUGUUUUUCCCGCCAAAAAAUGUAGUGGACUGACAAACACGAGCAUCAUGUAGUGUUGUGUGUGUUUCUAUACAACACCAGUCAAAACCUGACACGAUGAACUAAACAGCUUCCUUUAAAUAUCCAGGGACCCACCCCCCACCCCCAUCUCCCCCCAUCCAUCCGCCCAUCCAUCACCACCCCCCCCAAUCCGCAGACUCGUCUUUUAUCUCAGUGGCUCUCAACUUUGUCUCAGGUGAAUCUGAAAUGUGACAAAACAUGGAAAGUGUCUGUUUAUUUCCAACAGGCAGGGCCGGAUUAACACUGAGCCCCCCCCCCCCCCCCCCCACCCUUACCCAGUCUCUAUACUAAGGGUGCAAGAAAAUAAUCAAUAAUAUUGUAAUAAUAUGUUUUGUGAUACUGUAUCGUUUCUCAAAAACUAUUGAUUUUAAUUAAUAGUUGACAUGUAAAGUUUGGAGGUUCACUUUGUGUUGUGUUUAAAUCCCUGACCAGUAGAUGGCAGUGUUGUAAUCCGUUUGACUCUUGCUGAGACAGGAAGUAGAGUAAGAGUGCACUGUUAGCAUUAGCACACCUAGCUGACUGGAGUGUGGGCUCGUUUUGUCUUCCACGAUAAAGAAGGCACUAAAGGAGAUCGACUAGAUCCGCGAUCAAACACUGAGGCUAACAGCUAACAGCUUAGCAAGGUGCUACUCUGAUGCUAACGGCUAGCAAGUGGAUCCCUCUCAACUCGCUCUGGAAGUUCACACACCGAAGUUACCGCUGACCUCAAUGUCUCCCAUACGUUUCCCAGGUAGAUUAAGACCCGCCCAGGUAAAUAAAAUCACUAUUUUAACUGUAAAUCCAAUGUAAGGAGCCUACAUCACUCUUUCCAAGCUCACUCAUUUUCAGCCACACACCUGUCUGAGCCUGCCUAUAUGUCUACCUGCAUGUGAGGCGUUUAGGGGACAUCUGUAACUCGGUCACACCCUCCUCUCAGUGAUUCUGUGAUACAGUGAAUAUGAUGCAGCCUCGUUACGUUGCAGGAUCCUGCUUUUAUUUUCUUACUGAAACAGGAAGUGAACUAGUGCUGUGAUGUUACAGAGAUCUCACUGUUCUGAUGCAUAAAAAAGUACAUUUUAUUUUUAAUAGUUUAUACAUGUGGCGGUUUGAUCUUUGUUAUUACAGUCCUCCUAAAAUUAGCUUUAAAUAAAAUCACAAGAUAUUGAAUCGUAAGCCCUGUAUCACGAUACGUAUCAUAUAUAAACCUAUAGACUGUGUUAGUAUUUAUUUAGAAAAAUGCACUAAUAUAAACUGAAAUAUUAAAGGUUUUAAAGGAACAGUUCAACAUUCAGAUGAAUCCUCUUCUAUUUCUGAGUCACAUGUUCAGAUUGAUACUUAUUGAUUAAUCAACUGAUUAUUUCGUCUUCAAAUCAAUCAACAGUUUAUUCUUUAUUCUAACUUUCACCAGUGAAUGUAAAACCCAAACAUUCAGUUUUUUUUUUAUUAAUUCUUCAAAUUAUUCAGAGUGGAUCAGUGUGAACAUGUGACUCCACCUGUUCCUCACGGCCUCAGCCGCUUCAGGUGAUCGUGUGCUUCAUUAUGUGCUAACAGGUUUAUCUCAGCCUCACAGCGAACCUGGACCCCGAGGAACCGGGAUCCUGAGGACCGGGACCCUGAGGACCGGGACCCUGAGGAACCUGGACCCUGAGGGUUCUGGACCCUGAGGAACCUGGACCCUGAGGAACCUGGACCCUGAGGGAUCUGGACCCUGAGGAACCGGGACCCUGAGGGAUCUGGACCCUGAGGAACCUGGAACCUGAGGAACCUGGACCCUGAGGGAUCUGGACCCUGAGGAACCUGGACCCUGAGGAACCUGGACCCUGAGGGAUCUGGACCCUGAGGAACCUGGAACCUGAGGAACCUGGACCCUGAGGGAUCUGGACCCUGAGGGACCUGGACCCUGAGGGACCUGGACCCUGAGGAACCUGGACCCUGAGGAACCGGGAUCCUGAGGAACCGGGAUCCUGAGGGAACCUGGAUCCUGAGGAACCUGGACCCUGAGGAACCUGGACCCUGAGGACCGGGAUCCUGAGGAACCUGGACCCUGAGGAACCUGGACCCUGAGGAACCUGGACCCUGAGGACGGGGACCCUGGGUGUUAAUCCAGCCCUGCCUGAAGCCUCUGUUUGACUCAUUUAAAGAGAAGUCUUGUUAAUGCAGACUUCUAACUUUAGUCCUUCGUUGUGUCUCGACACCUGAACAGUUGAGAACCACUGCUGUCAUCAAACCAAACACCUGAACAAACACCUGAAAUGUUUCAGACGAGCGGAUCAGGAACCACAUGGAGACGUCUCUGUGUCCCUGACCUGAACCAGGAGCAGAGUCAGACCUUCAGCUUCAGCACCUUCACACACCUGAGUCUCAGGUGUGAUUUCAUGAGCUAAAGACUGAAGACACAUGGAGCCUGAGGUGAAGCAUGAUGCUCACUAGUAAUCAAUUAGAUCAAUCGAUUAAAGCCUGAAUGAAUUUAUCAAUUUGAAUUUAAAUGAUGCAUUAUGAAAACUCAUGUAAAACAUACAUGUACGAACAUUUGCCAAUUAAUAGUUCCGUUUCCUUAUUUCUGUAUUUAAAUGACUUUAAAAUGUAAAAUUAAAUUUAACAAAGUUUCUUUAAAUUGUAUUUUUUUCCACAGUCAUUUUUCAGAUGAAAUGUGUACUGGCCCUUUAAAAGUGAUGAUGCAACUCCAUUCUUAUAAAUCACUUUCUAAUGUCUCAUUAAAAUAAGAAAUGUUUUGUCUUUUAGUUUUUAUCCUGCAUCAUUUAAAUUCUAAUUUAAUUCAACUAAAAUAAAUUCCUGUUCUUUCUCUGGCUCCAUGGAAACUCCACAUCUGUCUCUGCAGCUGGACGCACGUUUUCUCAUGUUUUUCGGAGUGUUAAUAAAAUGAAAAUCUUCUACAACAGCAGGAAACAUAUUAAACUCAUAUUAAACUCCAUCAGUUUAUCUGGAGCUCCUCAGUUCAGCAGCAGCAGAGACGACAAAGUGUCUGAUCUCUGACGUUAGUGAUUCUCCAGCUUUAAGGCCAAUCAAGAAAAGAUGAUGUUCUGUACGUUUCCUGAGCUCUGGCGAGACUUUAAAGGUAGCUUUGCUCGUCAGGUGACAUCUUCAUGAUCAGUGGGGAUUUGUAAUGAAGCAGAGAGACUGUUAGAAAAGACCUUCAUUUAACUUUAGUACAUUUUAAACUGCUUCUUCUUUUCUCUAAUGCAACAAAACCAAACAGACGAAGCUGUUUAUGAUGAUAAAGUUUGAUCCAAUAUUCCUGAAAUCCUUUUCAAUCGAGGUGUUUUUUUGUUACAGAGACUUUGUGAGCAGAAUACAAUCUCUCCAACUUUCUGACCAACUUCCAAAGUACAACUCUUUACAUUUCCCGCCAAAAUCUCCUGGACUUAGUAAGUGCCAGGCCGAGACGAGACGGCGUCAGAUCAUUCAGUCAUAAUUCGUCCGACCCGAUUCCUUCCUCACAAACGAGUAUGAAUAUUGCUAAGGACCUACGUCGCUACACCCGGACAGCUAGCUCGUUUUCCUAGUCUUUUAUUGUGAAGUCGUAGGUGACAUCACAUCCUGUAGCUUUAGCAGUGCCGCGGGACAGUUAGUGGCUUCAGGCGGAGUUUAACUGUGACAGGUGAGACCUGUUUUUCUUUUUUUAAUUAGUGUGUUUGAUGAAGCGGCCCGACAAACGACUUCAUGUAUAAACUGUAAGAGUCAUUACAUCUUAGAAAAGUGCUUUGACUCCUCUGUGGAAGAUUUGGUGCUUUACAAUCAGGCUCCUCUUAUAAAGGAUUUAUUAACAGUUUAUAAUCAGGUUAUUAAUUCAGUUUACACUUUAUAAUCAUAAACAGUUAUAAACAGGUUAUAACAGUUUUCUUACAUUGACGCAGGCUCACUAUUUGGCAAGAUCAAGUUGACGCUUCCUACUCAUUAAUGUUUAGAGUGACUAACAUAUAAACUGGUAACUGGAGCCUGUUAGUAACGCGUUAAUAAAUGAGGUUUCACUCCUUUUAACAGGAGUAACAGUAACUCAGUAAUAAAUGGUGGUAAAAAUGAGAAGCAAAGAAACAUGGAGGUGGAGGGAGAAUCAGCUCAAACGACAGGCCAGAGAUGUGAAAAGGUUCAUUAAUAAUGAAUUAAUUAGUAACUGAACAAAUGUGAUGAAACAGCAGCUAAUGAUGGAGAGAGACAUGAGGGCUCACUUUUUGGCAGGAAACAGCUCCCUGUUGGCCUUUUUAUCCCAUGUGUUAUAACAGCUUAUAAAUGAUUGAUAAAGUGUGAACAAGCUGAUUAAUGAACUCGUUAUAACCCGUUGAUACAGCUGUAUAAGGGGAGUCUGGUUGUAACGUGGCACCGGAAGAUUUAAAAUGUCUAAUUGAAAACAAAUCGUUAAAGAAAUAAAGUGAAAUACACAUCAUGUA